AAUUUCAGCCCCAUUUCUUCAUCUCAGACAGUCCCAUCAGGCUUGGUUCCCCCUACCGGUACCAGGGCAGGUUGGAAGGAGCAAAUCUCAAAGCUGUAUUUCAGAAUGAUGGAGACGACCUGAGCUAGUCCUUGCUGAAUAUGUUAAGCAGUGAGUGGUGAAUAGGGCGUUUUAAUGUGCUGCUUCUGGCCUUGCUACCAACCCACAGAUCAAUGAGGAAGUUCCUCUUCAUGACUGAAUGUCCUCACCAGUAAAAUGAGUGGGUCUUGAUACUGAUUAACUGCUAGACGUCUUCUAUCAAUCGCCAGAAAUGGUUUCUCUGGAAAGGCUCUAGGGACCUUUGCACAGAACUGCCGAAACAUUGAACAUUUGAACCUCAAUGGAUGCACAAAAAUCACUGACAGCACGUGUUAUAGCCUUAGCAGAUUCUGUUCCAAGCUGAAACAUCUGGAUCUGACCUCCUGUGUGUCUAUUACAAACAGCUCCUUGAAGGGGAUCAGUGAGGGCUGCCGAAACCUGGAGUACCUGAACCUCUCUUGGUGUGAUCAGAUCACGAAGGAUG
rnacentral:lncRNA from 1 species